UUAGAAGUACAUUGGUCAAGUAUAAUUACAAAAUGGUUUAUUUUAAUUUUAUAAACCAAGAGCAGAAUGGACAUAAAAAAGAAUAGCACACAACUAAGUCGGUAUCCUACUCUAAUCAGUUGCCAAAUUGCUCAUAAAUACUAUUAAAAAAAAAAAGAGAAAAAUUACAUAAAAAAAAAGACCCACAAAGUAGAUCCAACUUUAAACAAUUCUAACAAAUAAGCGGGUCUAAAGUUUGGCGAAUGAAUCGAUCGUCAACACAAAAACGGGUCUAAAAUUUGGCAUUAACGACUCUUUCAAAUCCGUACAGUCCCAUGUCAAUCAACAAGAUGACUGGGAUAGAUAACCACAGACAGAUGCUUGAAAGUGUGGAGUGAAUUCGACCGUCAAUACGGUAAAUAACGAAUUCACUUGUGAUGAUCAACCACAAAUUUAUCAGCCAUCUCUGGCCCACAACAAGCAAACAUACAAGCACAACCUAUACAUAAGUCGGUCGAUAUGCAUAUUAACAAACCAAAGACAAAGACAAACUCAACAACUCAAACUUCAUCUCUUGAGGCACAACAAAUGAAUCUGACCGCCAACACUGUGACAUAAUCACAAACUGACAACUUGUUGCAAACAAACAAACCGCAAGUCACAAGACCAUUUAUAUCCACAUUAGUCUGUUGCAAAUACACGUCCACCAACAAUAACAUGUCACCCUCCAGAUAUGUAAAUCGCGGUGAAGUCAUUCAACAAACCAAAUGGCACAACCACAACAGCAACAAAUCUAAAAAGAUAACACACGAGAAACAUGUUUGAGAACCCGGACACCAUAUUGAACCUCCACAAAGUGCAGGGACGAUUUCGAAAGAAAAAAGACCCUUAAGGGUUUUAAAUCCAUAUUGACUAUUGUAACACAUCAAAAGCACUAUCUCCUAUCCAACAUGAUUCAAAACCCAGAAGAAAGGAGGAUAGAGAUAUGAUUCGGGACUAUACAAAGACAAUUUGAGGCGAAAUAAGAAGGAACAUAACAAUCAUACCAACCAACACAGCAACGACGGCGUGAUUGGUUUUGAAAGUCACGGUAGCGGCGCAUACAGCUAACAACCCCGAUUGGGGUAUGGUGGUGAGGCUGACAUGAAAUCCAAGCUUCCCACCACCACCGCAAAAUGGUUAAUUAGACCCAUAAGUAUAGCUUGCUAAAAAGGCCUAUUUUUUAUAACUACUCUUACAUGCAUUUGCUAAUUUUUCCCCAUACUCUUUUUAUUAAAGAAUACCUUAG
rnacentral:lncRNA from 1 species